GUGUCAGCAGCCGCGGUAAUACGUAGGGGGCAAGCGUUGUCCGGAUUCAUUGGGCGUAAAGAGCUCGUAGGCGGUUCAGUAAGUCAGGUGUGAAAGCUCCGAGCUCAACUCGGAGAGGCCACUUGAUACUGCUGUGACUAGAAUCCAGUAGGGGAGCGUGGAACUCCUGGUGUAGCGGUGAAAUGCGCAGAUAUCAGGAAGAACACCAGCGGCGAAGGCGGCGCUCUGGGCUGGAAUUGACGCUGAGGAGCGAAAGUGUGGGUAGCAAACAGGAUUAGAUACCCUGGUAGUCCACACCGUAAACGUUGGGCACUAGGUGUGGGGAGGAUCAACCCUUUCCGUGCCGUAGCUAACGCAUUAAGUGCCCCGCCUGGGGAGUACGGCCGCAAGGCUAAA
rnacentral:rRNA from 1 species